rnacentral:rRNA from 1 species
AUUGAACGCUGGCGGCAGGCCUAACACAUGCAAGUCGAGCGCGCGGCGGACGGGGGAGUAAUGUAUGGGGACUGCCCGAUAGAGGGGGAUAACUACUGGAAACGGUAGAUAAUACCGCAUACUAUCGGAUAACCCAGAUGGGAUUAGCUAGUAGGUGAGGUAAUGGCUCACCUAGGCGACGAUCCCUAGCUGGUCUGAGAGGAGGAUCAGCCACACUGGGACUGAGACACGGCCCAGACUCCUACGGAGGCAGCAGUGGGGAAUAUUGCACAAUGGGCGCAAGCCUGAUGCAGCCAUGCCGCGUGUAUGAAGAAGGCCUUCGGGUUGUAAAGUACUUUUGGCAGAGAAGCGGUAUCUGCAGAAUAAGCACCGGCUAACUACGUGCCAGCAGCCGCGGUAAUUC